ACCCCAAAACAAAGAGAUAGAAAUGCAUUUCUCAGUCUUAUAUCUUUAUAUUCAUUUAAAACAAUGGCCUAUUUUUACUGUUCUAGAUUUAAUGAAGAAUAGACUAUUACAGUUAAUUUCCCCAAGUACUCAGGAAAAAAAAAAAAAACACUUGAUGAAAAGCACAGCAGCACAAAGUGUGUGUCAGGACAGGCACAGUGAGAAUCUAAUGGGAGCCAUAAGCCAAAGUGACCCUUGACACACAUGCUGCCUUACUUGGGCUUCUCUCCUCUUUUCCUAGAUCUAGGUCUUGCUUAAGUCUCCAUUGCACUGAACCUCUUCUCAGAAAUCAGGUAACCGAGCUGCAGUUAGGCAGUUAGGCAAGAAUAGAUAGAUAAUCCCCAUAGCAACAUUCCCUGCUGACUGAACAACCCAUGAUUAAAGUCCCCUCCCUGAUUUCACCCCCCCUUUGCCCCCGCCUAUAUCUGCCUUAAGAGGAAAAUAAAAUUUUGGAGCUUGAUCAGACAUCCUGUCUUGUUCUCAUCUUUGUGUCUCUUGUCCCUCUCAUUUGCCGGCCCUCCCUUCAGGUCCCCAUUGAAGACACUGCUGGCCAGGGCAAGAAUCCAUUCCCAGUAUUUAUAGUUGCCGAAAAGUUGGAAAGAAAUAAUUAAUUAACCUUAACAGGACAACUUUCCCCUCAGCUUGUGCUCUCUUUUGCUCUGUAUUUUUGAAUUCUGUUUUGGGGAAGCUUCCUUAAACCAGGCUGUUGAUGAGACUCACCUGGGAGCAUUUGCCCAUGCAAUGUUUGGGUUUUCUCUUAACUAUGAAUUCAGUGCUUUGACAGCAUGACAAUGUCUUUACCACUGUGAGAACAUUUGUAUUAUUCUACCACAUAUUUAUUUUUAACAAAUUGAUAACUGAUGCCCAUGUCUAAAUGUCAUUGUCAACCCCUUUUUUCUCAUUUAUUCUCUUUUCCUCUUACAAUUAGUUCAUUUGGAAAGAUUUAUGUAUCUUUCCUUUUCUAAAAUAAGUGAACACUUUCAUUCUUUUAAUAAUUAUAAGUUCAUGAGGACAAAUUGUUCCUCUGUUCUCUGGCCAAGAAAAGAUCUACUGAGAAGGAUUUGCUAGGCUUCACUCAUGACCUGCUUUACAACCUCCAGGAAGAAUGAAGGAUGCCUUCGUGUCUUAUCUUCCCUUGCAAUCCUCUUAGUCCAUAGAACUCAUCGAUCAUAUAUAAAAUGGGGUCUUCACUGGAAGGCUUUGAGUGAGGAAAUCGAGGUGAACUUUUGAAGGAACAAAACAGCCACAGUCUCUGAACUGUUGUCCUUAACCCAAAUAUCUCUCUGUGUGAGGUAGGUCAAGUGGGGCUCCCAGUGAGACAUCCUUGUGUGUGGUCUUCUCAGGAUUAGUAACCUUCCUAAAAUACUGAUACUGGAGGCUUUUUUAAAAUACAGAUUUAAAUGUCUCCCUUGCCUCCCCUGCUCUCUCUUUCUCAGACACACACACACACACACACACACACACACACACACACACACACACACACACUUGCAGAUAUCCUAUGUUAGUAUUUUUCCACUUCUUUGUUCUGUCUGUCUCUGUCUCUUUGUCUGUCUCUGUCUCUAUUUUUAAUCUCUGGGUGGUCUUCUGUGAUUAUAUUUUAUGACCUUGUUAAAUGAUAUUUUAGAAACAGAUAAAAGUGAAUAUUCUCUUAAUUAGUGGAUGGGUGGAUGGGACUGUUUCCUCAAAAUCAAGAAACUCUGCCAGACUGAUCCCUGGUUGUUUUUAUUUACUGUUCAAGGUAUCGUGUUUACCUACACCAAAGAUUUCUUGUGUAUCUUUCAUAAAAUGUUGGUCUUCUCAAGAGUUAUGUGUCUUCUUCUUUUUUCUGAAUGUUUCUUCAUAAUAUCAGCAUUUACCAGGAAAUAUUCAGUAUGUGGAAUAUAUAGUCCUCAUGGAUAUUGUACCAGAGAGUAUUUACCAGUCUGUGGGACCGAUGGCUAUACUUAUGGCAACAGAUGCAUGUUCUGUAUUGCACACAGACGAAGCCGUGGUUCCAUUAAAUUUAAACAUGAUGGUGAAUGUUGAGUUUUUGAUGGAGCUACAUCUUCCUAUGGAUCUUAUUAUGAUCACAGUUUUGCACUGAAGUCUACAGUGGACUGGAGAUUUUGCCAUCAGGUUCUUAGAAGACUGGGUGAAUCUGUAUCCUGUUUACUGACAAGCCGAAGAUUUCUUGUGUAUCUUCAUAAAAUGUUGGUCUUCUCAAGAGUUAUGUACAUCACCUUGUCAUUUCUUCUUUUUUCUGAAAGUUCUCUAAUAUCAGCAUUUACCUGGAAUGAAUCAGAAUGUAGAAUAUAUAGUCCUCGUGGAUUUUGUACCAAAGAGUAUUUACCAGUCUGUGGGACCGAUGGCUAUACUUAUGGCAACAGAUGUGCUUUCUGUAAUGCACACAGACAAAGCCAUGGUUCCAUUAAAUUUAAACAUGAUGGUAAAUGUUGAGUUUUUGAUGGAGCUACAUCUUCCUAUGAAUAUUAUUAUGAUCACAGUUUUGCACUGAAGUCUACAGUAGAUUGAAGAUUUUGUCAUCAGAUUCUCAUAGCCCUAGAAGAUUGGGUGAAUCUUUGUGUAAGACACAAGUUAGAAGGCUGGGCUGUCACCGCUCUGUUCACUUAUGAGAUCCUGCUAUUUCAACAUUUUACCUUCUGUGGUCAAAUACUUAAUGAGACCCAACAAUCCAAAAUUUUAGUAUCUACAU